UCUGAAGGUUUCCGCUUCUGAUUAAAGGAUUUGAUUUGGUGGACCCUGAAGCGCCCCUUAUCCUGCCAGUGUAUAUCUCGCGAUAAAAGUGUAUAAUAGAAUCCGGUCGCUCUUUGCGCUGCUGUUAUCCAAGUUUCUGAUGUGAGCGCGAAAUUCGCUGAGCGAAAACUAUUUAACAACCGUAAGUUGCACGGUCGUGAUUAGUCUCGUGGCGCUGCUCGAAGGCAAAAGAAGCAACCAGGUGUGACGGUGGAUCGAAAUUCGAAUAAUAAUACGGCAGUGAUCAAAUUGAGUGAUAAAUGCAAACAACGCACAUUGACGUGAUAAACAAGUGGCAAGAAUAAACAAAACAUUUUGGUCAAAUUGAAAUCUCCGCUUCGCGUCCGCAACCUUGCGAGAAUCUCAAGAUAUUUUGCGACAUCCGGAAACAACAGUCUUUGUCGCAAUAUGGCCGCUCCAGCGAAUCCAACGAGCACUCACAAAAUGAACGGAAAUAGUAAAAUCUACUGCGAGGGCAAUCUGCUGCACACCAUCCAAACGGCAGUGCCCAAACUAUUUGCGGAUUCGAAGACCUUUGUGGACAUGAAGCUGAACUAUUCGCCCGACAAGACCCUCGAGGACUUUGAUGCCAUGAUGGAGGCCAAGAAUCAGACGCCAAGCAGCGAGGAUCUCAAGCAGUUUGUCGAUAAGUACUUCAGUGCACCGGGAACCGAGCUUGAGAAGUGGACGCCCACCGACUGGAAGGAGAAUCCCAGCUUCCUCGACUUGAUCUCCGACCCAGAUCUUAAGCAAUGGGGCGUCGAGCUGAAUAGCAUUUGGAGGGACUUGGGACGCAAAAUGAAGGACGAUGUGUCAAAGAAUCCCGAAUACUACUCGAUCAUUCCCGUGCCAAAUCCAGUGAUCGUGCCCGGCGGUCGUUUCAUUGAGUUCUACUACUGGGACUCCUACUGGAUCAUCCGCGGACUCCUCUACAGCCAGAUGUUUGACACCGCGCGCGGCAUGAUUGAGAACUUCUUUUCCAUUGUCAAUCGGUUCGGUUUUAUUCCAAACGGCGGUCGAGUCUACUACCAUGGUCGCUCCCAGCCGCCACUUCUAACCGGUAUGGUCAAGUCGUACGUGGACUUCACCAACAAUGAUAAGUUCGCCAUUGAUGCCCUGGACACGCUGGAGCACGAGUUCGAGUUCUUUGUGAACAACCACAAUGUCACGGUGAAGAAUCACAGCCUGUGUGUAUACCGCGAUUCGUCGUCCGGGCCGCGACCAGAGUCCUACCGUGAGGAUGUGGAGACUGGCAAGGGGUUUCCCACGGAUGAGGCCAAGGAACUGCAUUUCAGUGAACUCAAGGCAGGCGCCGAAUCGGGCAUGGACUUUAGCUCACGCUGGUUCAUCUCCCCGAGUGGAACCAACGAUGGCAACCUGAGCGCUCUGAGCACCACCUCAAUUGUGCCCGUCGACCUGAAUGCCUAUCUCUACUGGAACGCCAAGUUGAUUGCCGAGUUCCAUUCCAAAGCGGGCAACACCAAGAAGGUCACCGAGUACGAGACCAAGGCCGAGAAAUUCCGUCUGGGUAUCCAAGAAGUUUUAUGGAACGAGGAGGCCGGUGUUUGGUUGGACUACGAUAUGAUUAACCAGAAGCCGCGCGAUUACUACACGCCCACCAAUCUAUCUCCACUGUGGGUGAAGGCCUUCAACAUUUCGGAGUCCGAGAAGAUAUCGGCUUCGGUUAUGGCCUACAUUGAGAGGAACAAGCUGGACAGCUACCCUGGCGGAGUUCCCAACACGUUGAGCAAAACCGGAGAACAGUGGGAUGCCCCCAAUGUGUGGGCACCGAUGCAGUACAUUCUGGUCGAGGGCCUAAACAACCUGAACACUCCCGAGGCCAAGAAUAUGUCACUGAAGUGGGCCACCAAGUGGGUGAAGACAAACUUUGCGGCGUUUAGCAAGGACAGGCACAUGUACGAGAAGUACAACGCCGAUGAGUUCGGAGUUGGAGGCGGCGGUGGGGAGUACGACGUACAGACUGGAUUCGGAUGGUCCAACGGUGUGAUCAUCGAGUGGCUGAGCAAGCACGGGCGCGACAUUUCCAUUGGAUCCGGUUGUGGCUGCCUAGCAGGUGAAAAGCGGCAGUAGAAAGAAUCUGUAGCCAGGCCAAAACGCAAUCCAUCAGACAUCAUUGUCAGCAUCAUCACAGGCUCGAAGCCAAAGCUUAUUCGAAAAAUUGUAUUUAGAUAUUUGUACAUUAUUAAGCCUCCAUCCAGAAGCGCUCAUCAACUGCUCAUCCUUAGACUAAGAAAAUGCUGUCUCUCUCGCUCUGCGCAAUCUCUAAAUCUUUAAAAGCCGCUGUCUAUAACCAAUAUCUGUACCGUGAACCAUCGACAUCUCGAGCCAAGCACCACGAACCACAGCACCACAGUUACAGCACCGCCAGGAAUCAAGAUCUGAAGUCCGCCAUUCGUCGAGCAUCUGUGUACUGUCUGUUGUCCAUGUAGUAAACCACGUCCAGUCCACGUUUGCACACUCGUGUGACUUGUCCAAAUUCAAGAAAUAAGAACGCAAAGAACGCUAUCUAUCAAGUUGAGGAUUCACGAGUAAUCGUAUGAUGGGCAUCGUGGGCGUGGCAGCUGUGACUAUAGUUGCUCUGAUAGCAGGUCGUGUUCUAUGGUGAGACAACGUGUGCCAAAACAAGCUGUAAUUGCUUCCCAAGUAGUGUGAUUCCCCCCUCCGUGUUUGUGCGUGUGUUGUGAAGUCUGUAGUUGCUAACGUUUUUCGUUGAGUGCGGAGAUUGCAGUAUUAGUUUAUCAUUAUUUGGUAGUUGAAGUGAGAGUUGUAUAUACUGAAUUUAUAUGGGCAUGCCCGACAUUGUUAUUACGUUUUAAUAUCUAGCAAAUAUCUAUACCAAUCCUAGCUCCUCGCAACCAAAUGAAGACACAAAUACAAUUGUUAACAAUAA
rnacentral:misc_RNA from 13 species